AAGAAAAAGGUCUUGAAUGCCAGAGAUAGAAAGAAGAGGACUGCUCUCCAUUUGGCCUGUGCCAGUGGCCAUCCAGAAGUAGUUACUGUCCUGGUGGACAGAAAAUGCAAGCUCAAUGUCCCCGACAGUGAAAAAAGGACAGCUCUGAUUAAGGCGGUACAAUGCCUGGAAGAGGAGUGUGCCACCAUCCUGUUAGAACACGGUGCCGAUCCGAAUCACAGUGACGUGUAUGGCAACACAGCUCUUCACUAUGCUGUCUAUGGCGACAACCCAUCGAUCGCAGCAAAGCUCCUUUCACAUGGCGCAAAUAAAG